UCCGGCUUAUCACCGGCAGUUUCCUUAUAGUUCCCGGCAUCACCCGCUGGCAAAUAAGGAUGAGGGUUGCGCUCGUUGCGGGACUUAACCCAACAUCUCACGACACGAGCUGACGACAGCCAUGCAACACCUGUGUGCGACCCGGCCGAACCGAAGGAUCUCAUCUCUGUGAUCCAUAAUCGCCAUGUCAAGGGUUGGUAAGGUUUUUCGCGUAGCAUCGAAUUAAACCGCAUGCUCCACCACUUGUGCGAGCCCCCGUCAAUUCCUUUGAGUUUUAACCUUGCGGCCGUACUCCCCAGGCGGAGUGCUUAAUGCGUUAGCUGCGAAACCGAAAGAGAUUCUUCCGACAUCUAGCACUCAUCGUUUAGGGCGUGGACUAC
rnacentral:misc_RNA from 1 species